rnacentral:ncRNA from 1 species
GUAGAAUAAUUGUGUAAAUGGAAAUGGAAUAAUGAAAAAACGAAGUUGUUAUUGUGUAUGUAUUUAAUAAAUGAUUAUUUGCUUAGCAUCUUGUACUUGGGUGCUACACUAAGGAACUCAACAAAAUAGCCCUGUAACUUCGGGAGAAGGGGUGCCUCCUCAGGAGGUCGCAGUGACCAGGCCCGGGCGACUAUUUACCAAAAACACAGGUCUCCGCAAAGUCGUAAGACCAUGUAUGGGGGCUGACACCUACCUAGUGCCGGAAGGUUAAGGAAGCUGGUGACCUGAUGACGAGGAAUCCAGCGACCGAAGCCCCGGUGAACGGAGGGCGUAACUAUAACGGUCCUAAGGUAAAGAAAUUCCUUGUCGGGUAAUUUCCGACCCGCACGAAAGGCGUAACGAUCUGGGCACUGUCUCGGAGAGAGACUUAGUGAAAUAGACAUGUCUGUGAAGAUGUGAACUACCUGCACCUGGACAGAAAGACCCUAUGAAGCUUUACUAUUCCCUGGGAUUGUCUUUGGGUUCUUCUUGCGCAGCUUAGGUGGAAGGCAAAGAA